GGCAGCGCGAGAGAGCUUGCUCUCUUGGCGGCGAGUGGCGGACGGGUGAGUAAUAUAUCGGAACGUGCCCAGUAGCGGGGGAUAACUACUCGAAAGAGUGGCUAAUACCGCAUACGCCCUACGGGGGAAAGGGGGGGAUCGCAAGACCUCUCACUAUUGGAGCGGCCGAUAUCGGAUUAGCUAGUUGGUGGGGUAAAGGCUCACCAAGGCAACGAUCCGUAGCUGGUUUGAGAGGACGACCAGCCACACUGGGACUGAGACACGGCCCAGACUCCUACGGGAGGCAGCAGUGGGGAAUUUUGGACAAUGGGGGAAACCCUGAUCCAGCCAUCCCGCGUGUAUGAUGAAGGCCUUCGGGUUGUAAAGUACUUUUGGCAGAGAAGAAAAGGUAUCCCCUAAUACGGGAUGCUGCUGACGGUAUCUGCAGAAUAAGCACCGGCUAACUACGUGCCAGCAGCCGCGGUAAUACGUAGGGUGCAAGCGUUAAUCGGAAUUACUGGGCGUAAAGCGUGUGUAGGCGGUUCGGAAAGAAAGAUGUGAAAUCCCAGGGCUCAACCUUGGAACUGCAUUUUUAACUGCCGAGCUAGAGUAUGUCAGAGGGGGGUAGAAUUCCACGUGUAGCAGUGAAAUGCGUAGAUAUGUGGAGGAAUACCGAUGGCGAAGGCAGCCCCCUGGGAUAAUACUGACGCUCAAACACGAAAGCGUGGGGAGCAAA
rnacentral:rRNA from 1 species